AUGGAGCCGCGUGGAAUGCAAUCGCUUUGCUGGAUCUCCGAAUCUUCUCCGCGCGUCUUAUCACAACAGCGCCUUGUACUGCCUUCAUUGACUGGACUCGUAAAAAAUUCUUGGUGCAGUCGUCUAAAAGUCGAAGAGCCAUACCAAGUUCUGUACCAUAAGCUAAAAAAAACUGCGAUCCGUCUAUCUGAGUGGAGCAAGAACUUGUUCUCCAAGGCUAAGGUUCAGCUCCAUGCGGUCAGAACCUCCCUAUAUGCGGAUGAUGCUGUUGUUUUUCUGGCUCCUAUCAAAAGGGACAUUGACAAUCUUGCUUCCAUCUUGAGAGGUUUUGGCGAAGUGACAGGUCUAUGCACCAACUUUCAGAAAAGCUCCGUUGUGCCAAUUCGAUGUAGUCAUCUUAAUCUUGGGCACACUCUUCUGAGCUUGCCUGCAACUCGUGCUACUUUCCCGGUGAAGUAUCUUGGCUUGCCUCUCUCUGGUUGGCAGCUCAGAAAGUCCCAUACCGCUGGCCGCAGCGGAGGGCGAGCCUGCGGGCGCUAUAAAAGAGGGAGCGGGUGCGCCGUUGGAAAGCAUGAUCCUUCAGGCAGCAAAAGGGAGAUGAUGAGUGGUAUCAGCUCGCUACAAUGCGAGAGGGGUGUCCGCCCCAACCAAGCCUGUUACGACAAUGGGGCGCCCCAGUGA
rnacentral:rRNA from 1 species